GGUCCUGUAGCUCAGUGGUUAGAGCAGGCGACUCAUAAUCGCUUGGUCAACGGUUCAAAUCCGUUCAGGACCA
rfam:Verrucomicrobia bacterium CAG:312_58_20 Ley3_66761_scaffold_2267, whole genome shotgun sequence.